rnacentral:tRNA from 1 species
GCCGGGGUAGCUCAGGGGUAGAGCGCUACGCUCAUAACGUAGAGGCCGCGGGUUCGAAAAAGCCUUUCUUUCUUUAAUGAAGAAAGAAACCCUUGAAAAAGAAAGAAAAAUUUUGGGCUUCGCCUAUUAUCUAAAAAUUAGCGUUGGGAUUAGGAUUACCCGCCCUCGGCA